rnacentral:lncRNA from 13 species
UAGGGAAGUCCACUCCUCGGCUCCUGUCCUUCUGUAAGCAAGUAGCAGCAGGGGUGGGGGUUGGGAAGGAGGGGAAGAGAGGUGGGGGUGCAAGGGGUAGGGAAGUCCACUCCUCGGCUCCUGUCCUUCUGUAAGCAAGUAGCAGCCGGGGUGGGGGUUGGCAAGGAGGGGAAGAGAGGUGGGGGUGCAAGGGGGAGGAGAGUGAGGGGCAGCUCAAUAAGAGGAGGUGUAGAGAGGGGUACAGGGGAGAGGGGAGAGGAUGUGUAGGGGUAAAGGGUGGCAGAGCAGACAUUGGCUGGAGAGCAGGAUGGGCGACGAUUGGAUGAGGAUGUUGCAGUGACACCAUAAAUUAUCGUCAUCGGGCUGUGACAUGUCAUGUGAGCAUGCUGAAGAGUCUGAAAAGUUUGAUAACAUUUGUUGCCCAAGAAACGUCCGUGUGUGAGAGUUUGUGCUCUGUACAUGUUUGUGGUCACGGGGAAUAGGGGGCUACAGUGCAAUGCUACAGUCCAGGGUGUAGGGCAACAGUCCAAGGCCAGGGUGUGGCUAAAAGGCUUGGGAAGACAAGCAUCAUCAUCAUCAUCAUCAUCAUCACCAGCAGUGGAUUCACAGCCAGGGAAAGGGAGGAUAAAGAGGAACAGGCUUAGGUGAGGAAUGUGCAUUAACGUUGUACAGUCUUCGCCAUCCGGAGCUGUGACAAAGACACCCAGCCCAAAACAAUUCAACGAUGAUCGAGAGGGUUCUCUAUAGCAAGAAAAGUGCCUCUUCUUUAGAAAUAAUUGUGAUUCAGAAUUAUAUCAUUGUGCUUGAAAUAUAAUCAGCUGGUUUUCUGUAUAGAUGCUCUAGCAAUAAUAUAAUAUGUAAAAAUGUAAUAUAACAUGGACCAGUGACAUACUUUGUCCACCAGAGGGCCUCACAGAGUUUUAUAUCGACUAGGAAGGAAGGGAGGAUGGAAGAACACAGAGAGGCAAGACAAGAGUGGUAAAACCCAAUGGCAAUGGUCCUCUAACCUUUGACCUCUAACCUUUAGCCAGGUGAGGUCAAUGAUAACAAGUGACCUUACAAUAACGUAGUAAGUAAAUGCUAUAGUAAGACUGGGUGGGCGUGGUUAUGGGUUGUCACAGCUCCGCUUUGACCCCUGUACUAACGGCACAGCAGUAUUUCUAGUCAGUCUGACUCUGCCCUCAGUCAGUCUGCGUGGUCUGAAGGUUUGGGGAUGGUUCCUAGGGACGGUAGUUGUACCUGCUCCGCCUCUAGCCGCGCCUGAGAGCGCUUGGCCUUGCUCUGCCUGUAGUACUCCAUGAUCAUCAUGGCAGCGUAGAUCUUCCCCACCGUCAGGUCUGUUGCUGCUGAGAGAGGGACAAGUUACCCUGCACGAUUAGACCACUACGUAUGGGACCCUGAGCGAGAGGGAUGGGAGUAGAGGGGCACGCACGCAGAGAGAGAGACACACACUCACACUGGCAAAUACACACAUAUACACGAACACAGAGCUGAUAGUCUUUUCACAAACAGACUCGGACUAAAAAAUUAUCAUGUGUCACAUUUUCUCUUUCUCUGGUUAACUGUAGUCUUUCUUUCUUUACAUCUUUUCUAGACAUAACUGUAUUUCUACUGACUGGUGGUCUUCAAUCAGAAGACAAGACUCAAGACCACUUCAUUGUGUAGAUGGGGGACCUGGUAGAGGACUGGACAGUACCAACA